rnacentral:rRNA from 1 species
UGUAAGGAUUUAAGGGUCGAACAGACCGUUCAUUAGCUCCUACACCAAUGCCCAUCCUUAAUCCAACAUCGAGGUCGCAAUCUUUUCUCUCAAUAAGAACUCUAAAGAAAAAUUACGCUGUUAUCCCUAAGGUAAUUUAAUCUUGUAAUCUAAACUUUAGGAUCAACUAAUCACAAAUAAGUGUAUUAAUAAAGAAAAAGUUCAACUAAUUUUUCAAUCGCCCCAACCAAACAUCCAAGUUUGUACUAACAAACCAAUACUACUGAAUUAGAACAAAGCUAAAUGUAAAACUCUAUAGGGUCUUCUCGUCUUUAAACAAAAUUUAAGCCUUCUUACUUAAAAAUAAAGUUCCACCAAAAUUAAGCUGAGACAGCUGUUUCCUCAUCCGACCAUUCAUUCCAGCUUUCAAUUAAAAAACUAAUGAUUAUGCUACCUUUGCACGGUCAAAUUACCGCGGCCCUUUAACCUAUCAGUGGGCAGGCCAGACCUUAAAUUAUAAUCAAAAGGCC